GGCUGGGGUGCGUGCAGGGGCGCGGGGUGCGGGCAGGGGCCGGGUGCGGGCAGGGGCCGGGUGCGGGCAGGGCCGCCUCUCACCCGGCUUCCCGCCUAGUGAGCGCACCUUGGACGCCUGCGGCUUUUCCGAGCCGAAGCUCACGGGCUGUGGCCGGCUUCGUUUCGUGUAGUGCAGCUCCGCGACCGCCCGUGGCCACACCAUUCGGGGACUUCGUGCUUUACGAUGGGGGCGCAGUGGCCUGGCACACGCAGCACCCCGGGCCUCGAACCCUCGCGCUGGCCGCCCUGGACCCGCACAGUCAGGGUACCUGCCCAUACCGAUGGGGUGGGGACCACCACGGAGCCUUUCCUUGGCCCCGCGGCUUCUGUUCCUUUCGAGACGGACAGCGCCCACCCGGAGGAAAGCCUGACAGACGAGACUUCGCAAGGAUCAGCGAGAAGGCACAUGUGAAGCUCACCCAGGUUCUGUCUGUUUCUGCUCUCGUAUAAAGACCCCAUAUGGAGCCAGUGACAACGAGGGCCAUGGGGAAGGCAGGUGAGGAUUGGGCCCUGCUGCUCAGCACAGGGUCAGCUGGCUGGCCUAGGGUGGGCUGGCCAGGCGCAGGGUGGGCUGGUCAGGCGCGGGGUGGGCUGGCCAGGCGGGGGGCCGGGCUGGUCAGGCGGUGGGGUGGGCUGGUCAGGUGUGGGGUCAGCUGGUCAGUGUAGGGGGGUUGGCUGGUCAGGUGUGGGCUGGGCUGGUCAGGUGG
rnacentral:lncRNA from 1 species